rnacentral:tRNA from 1 species
GCCGUGAUCAUCUAAUGGAUUGGUUAUUGCGCUGUGGAAUCAAUAAACCCAGGUUCGAAUCCUGGUCACGGCA